AAUCUGUGGUGUGGGCACCUCCACAAAAGAUCCUUGAAGCACUCCCAUGUCUCAAACAAUAAAUCCAAUUCCAUCUGUACAAAUGAUGAUAUCUCAUUGUGAAGCUU